AUGAAUCUCUUCAUCAUCACCUUCAUGUGGAUUCUUGCUGUUUUUGUUCAAGAAUCCAGAGGAGUUACUGUAACUCAGAGUAAAGUUGAACCUGUUUCUGAGGGUCAAAAUGUAAAUAUAAAGUGUACAACUAAUCCUGCAAUAGAUGGCUGGGGUUUAUCUUGGUAUCAGCAGAAACCUGGAGAAGCUCCUAAACUCCUCAUUAAAUUAGUAAAUGAGCGUUAUGAAAACACUCCAGAUAGAUUCAGUGGAGAUGGAGAACAAGAUGGUACAGAUUUCAAUCUGAGCAUCAGUGGAGUUCAGACUGAAGAUGCAGGACAUUAUUACUGUAUGAGUUUUGACUGCAGAGUUGAUGAUGACAAUAAUUGUGUGGGUGACCUUGUGUUCACACAGUGAUAAAGUCUCAUACAAAAAGUUAGACACCUGACACACACAUCAGUGAGGAAGAU